AUGGCUCAGCACGGAGAAAACAAGAGAGUGAUCUCAGGAAGACUGGUCUGUCUUGGUUGUCUCAAAUGGAAGGAUCUCAUCCUUUCUUAUGACUAACAACAGAAUGACUCAGAGUGGAAGCUCUGGAUUCAGAUGCUUUAGCGUCCUAUUUCAGCUGUACCAUUUGCUGUGACCUUGGGAAAGUGAAGUCUCUCUGCCUGGUUCUUCAGUCUAUUCAAAGUCUCUCCUACCUGCUCAGGUAUUCCUGAGAUGUGCUGGGCCUAUCUCAGAUGUGCAUAUAGGUGCCAUACUUGGAUAUGAAUUGUUUACCGAUGUCAGUGAAUCAGAGUCCUGGGUGUUCAUGAAGAAAGAAUGAAGGGUCACAGGUUAGAGACCUGUGGAAAGUGCUAAUGGCCCGCGUGUGUCUGGCCUGUGUUACAUCUGAUUAAGCCUGUCACAUUCAGCAGAGCUGCUGAGAGCUUGGUGGAGUUGGCCAUAUAUUAUAAGUGCUGGGAAAGACAUGACCUCUGCUUAUUUCAGCAUGAGUUUAUCUCUUGGUCUCUUUGAUCAGGGGAAGAAAAUUUAUUGUUGGUUUCUAUAAUUAGUGCUCACAUCCUCCUUUCCAUAUUUGUAAACGAACUGACUAGCUGUUCCUGCCGAUGAUUAAAUGGGAGUGGAAGAGUGGAGGUUAGUUAGUACCCACGAAAUAAAUCUAGAGUUAGGAUGUGGUGGAAAAAAACCUGGAAACUAUGCCUAACUCUGAAUAGUUUUUGCCUUGUUUUAUCUAACACUCAAUAAACGAACAAACAAACAAAUAAAAUACUUGAUUGGAUUUUGAAAUAUUCUGGCCAAGAUUAUCAUAGCUUCUCCCGAAAGUGGCUUAAAAUAGCUGGACUGAUGAAAAGAAUGAGAGGGAGAACGAGGGAGAGAGGGAAGGAGGGAGAGGAACCAAGGUCGUCCUUGGUUUCCUUCUAGAUAGGUAAAAAAACUACCUUAUGCUACAUGCAUUUAAUUUUUGUUUCUGUGUGUGGUUAAACAACCACCAUGAGCUGCUUCUCCCUGACUCAUGGAGGAUAAGAAGUAUCUGAUGGAGUUUUAUGCAUACAACUGAAGACAAAACACGGCCUUGGGUGGCUAGCAAGAAUUCAUUGCACAGCCUUGAAGGCGUUCUCUUGGACCUGUCCAAAUAACCCAGGUCUUCUGGAAGACACCUCAUUUAUGUCACCUCAACCUAUA